UUUCCGUAGGUGAACCUGCGGAAGGAUCAUUAUCGUAACUUUUUUUUUUGAUUUUUUUUGAAAAAGAAAAAAUAAAGAAAAAAACUAAACAAAAAAAACCCCUGUGAACCAUUAUGUUUUAAACCCCACUUUAUUUAUUUUAAAAUCCCCCAAAUUUUUGUAUAUAUUAAAUUAUACUUUUUUUUUCCCCUGAAAUACUGAUUUAAAAACAAAAACAAAAAAAAGAACCAAACACAACUUCUAACAACGGAUGUCUUGGCUCUC
rnacentral:misc_RNA from 1 species